CUCACCGUUGCUGGUAGAUGGCAUCUCUGCUGGGACAGAGAGGCAACUCACACUCUGGCCAGACUCGGCAGCACAGGUCAAAGAGAGAGAGAGAAAAAAAUCAGCGUUAAUUUGAUCAAUUGAUCAGAUAAUCGAUUGAGAAACUGGAGAUGCCCGCUUACUGGGGGCAGUAACGUCCUGGAACAUGAAACCACAAAAAAGGAGCCAUUGAUUUCCUCACCUGCUGCUCCCAACAAAACCAGAGCCCAGGGAGAAAGGAGUCCUGGGGCCUCUGGAGGCCUGUGCUCUCCAAAGGUGUGGUUUGGGGGUGGUGGUGCACAGCAGCAGCUUCCGGAGAGUUUUACACUGGAAUUAGUUACAGAUGCAGUUACGGUGUCUUGUGUAAACGCCAUCGAUUGGGGAGCUGACAGUCUGGGGAGCUGCGAUGCGGGACAAUCAAUCGGCCUGCAGUGUCACCUGCCACCUCGCUGAACAGUUGACAAUGCAAUUAUCCAGUGUGGAGGCAGGGAGUUGGCGUGUGUCAAACGCACUUAGCCACUUUCCGGGCCUCCUCGAUAACGUGUUUCACUGCCUCGCGUCAGGAGAGACGCAGAGAGACAGACGCCGUUUAAAACCAUUGAUACUUACUCCUUCUGCCUGUACUCCCCCUGUCCUGGCUUAACAACUGUGUUCCCAAAGGCGAUUAAAUCCCGUCAGUCGCCACAGGGGACAAGAAGGUGCCCUGCUCCUUGCCACCUCUCCUCGCCCCUCCCAGCAGGCAACAGUUAUAACUAAAGGUGGUAAGGAGGUAGAAGGGGGCAGCCCUAACGCUCUCCAUUCCAACACUGCCUGCAGCAGUCGACUGUUCCAACACCUGUCACUGACUGCACCUGGCAGCAGGGCUGCGCUGGGGGACAUUUUUAGCAUCUGGGGCUCCCAACUUUUGGAAACCAACACGGCAAAGGAGGCAGCAGCUAUGGCCAGGCCAAUUUCUCCAUGCCCCUGGGCUCAGAACACCUCUCAACCCCUUGACCCAUAAUCUGGAGCUGAAGUUUUAUCAAGCAACAGCCAGUUAAAAGACCAGUGCCACAGCUGCCCUGCCUGUCCUCUCCAUGGCAUCUCAUCCCAGGCCACGUGGAACCAGCCUAAAUCUAAGGCAAGAACUCGAGAAAGGUGCAGUCCCGAGGCCAGGAUUGGGGCAGGGCAGAGGCCCUGGACAGUGGGUUCUCUUAGUAUCAUCCCUGUCCAACACCUGUUUGAUUCAAAGGGGAUCAGUGCUGGAUUCCAGGGAUGCAUUUCCCUCCAGGGCUCAAAGAUGGAGUUGCAGCACCUUCCACUUCCUGUGCCGCCUCCUGGGAAAUCCCUCCAUCUCGCCACUCAUGUGCCCACCACAUGACUGUGAGCUUAUCUGAAGCCAACCAUUCCAUAUUCUCUCUCCAGCCUGUCCAUUCCAGAUAUGAUGAACUCCAGGCUCCCCCAAUCCAGCUGGGUGAACUUUCACUGGCAACCAAAACAGGAGGGACCAAAGCUCCCACCACAAGUCUCUUCUCCGGGACCCAGGAUCUGGUGACAGGCAAUGAGGAGAGCUGGGGCUCAUUCAUCACAUACCUCCUUUGACUACAGGCAGGAGCGGGUUUGUCCCCAAGGGCUGUAUAAUUAGGUUUCUGCUGUGGCCCAGCCUAGAGGUCCCUUGCUCUGCCCAGGGCUGGCAUAGGGCACCAGAAGAGCGUCUUUCUUCCCUAACUGUUGAGCUCUUUCAGGGGAAUGCUGGUGAAGUACUAGGGUCCAUGUGCUGCCCUUUAUGCAAUUAUUAACUCUCGGUGGGGAGAAACAGCACUAGCAGGUUAGCAAACCUAAGGUUCAGAGAGGACAAUCAACAGCUUAGGCACGCAGCCCAGGGUGUCUCCGAGAACUGAGAAGGCCAGAGCGUUUCCUAGUCACUGAAAGUUUCCUCCAAACUAUUCUCUUGAAAACUUUAUCUCUUCCUUCGGACUCUUAAAGAUCCACUUCCAGCUGGACCUAUCUCAGUGCUUACCUGUUCUGUCUGGUCCUUCGUUUUGUCCUAAAAUAAUUCCAAGUACUCCCAGGCCUAAGCAAUCUGGGCCUCACCCUCAGUAACCACAGGCCCCAUCUCCAAGGCCCAUUCCCCUCAGCCAAGUGUCCCACCAAAAACUCUUGCUUGUUCACUGGUUCCACGGCAGAAUACAUUCAAGGAAACCGAUUUGCUCCACCACACCAGCUCCCAGUGGGCCUGGUGGGAAGCUUUGCUGAGGAUGAUGAAGGGGUCCUGGUCUGGGAGGAGGGAUAGGGGGUGAUCAGAUACGGGAACUUAUCUGCAAUUCUUUCAUAUCUAACAAGGACAGCAAUCUCUGUUCUGUCAGCAGGCACAGCUCGGCUUAAAUGGGCCUCACCACUCGCCUGCUCAUCCUGCCUCUGCUCCCUCUCUCUGAAGUCGGCUGGGCAGCUUCUUCAGCCAGCGUUAUCACUCCCUCUAACCGGUCUUGGCAGGCAAUCUAAUUCCUCCUGAAAAGGUCACCGCCAUUUUAACUGCCUUUCAAUCACAUUAAGCACGCGCUGCCCGGCUUGCGGCCCAGCCCGCCCGGCGGGCGAUCAAUGCGCUACACUGACACCAGCCCGCCUGGCGGGGCCACACCCAACCCCCCAAGAGUUGGGGCCUAUCGGUCCUGGCCAAGGAGGGUAGACUGACAGAUGGCCAGCUCCUGCAGACAGGGUUUCGGGGGCAGAGGCGGUCAGGAUCAGACAGGGCCUCCUUUGAUAGCACCCCCCACCGAGGAGCCUCAGCCUCCUCCGCUCCACUGCGCCCUGCUCUCUGCCUCGUGGCCCCUGCUGAUCUCGCUGUAAAACAGCCUUUCAAGUCUGCCUGUCUUUUGACUGCACUAAGCUGUUUAAGAGGCGGCAGCAACUUCUGUCAGGAAAGCCGGAGCAAUUCUCUGCAGAUAAAGGCACCUCCGGCCCCCGUUCCCUCUUCAAGUCUCACUCUCAUUCUCGCUCUCCAAAUCGCUCAAAGAAAAGCCCCCUUUGAACUCCUCUCAGGAAUUCUUGAAAAGAACAACCUCACAGUGUAAACACUCAGGGAAAACUGACACCCGCCCAUAGGGCUGAAGAGCCCCUCACACCCGCUCUGCAAGUGCGUCCCAGCGCCUGGGAAAUACUUGGUUGUAGCAGCAGGCCCCAUGCAGCUUCAUCCCCCUAAGCCCUGUCUGGUGCCCAGAAGCCACCAGGUCCAGUUCUGUGCCAAGAAACCUGAAAACUUGCCGCGGUAAUGGAAGAUAUGAAAAUCUGCAGCCACCCAACAGAGCGAACCCAGAGCGGCAUCCUGGAACUGCCCCUCAACAGACACCUGUGUGUACAAGUCACUGGACCCUGGGCUUUGCUGCUCAUCCUCACUGGGCCUCAGACACUCGGAAACUCCAGGAUAGGACCAGAGUGAAAUGGCAAACGGACAUCCUCCCAGCUCAGCGCUCAGGCUAGGGAAACGGUUUGGCCUGAUUAACCUGCCUGAUUUACACUUUGGCUUGUCCCCAAACGCUUGGGCAAUAUGAGAGAAGCCCAGAAGCAUAACGCCACACCUGGGCUCGUGGCCCCUCAUGUAGCCAGUCUGCCCUGGAUGGCACUGUGGGGACUGCUCCUCAGCACCAGCCCGAGAAGCACUGCCCCAGUGAGGCAGAGACCCUCCUCCCAGCUGCUGUGAGAUUCCCCAGGGACCAGACACAGCAAUACUCCCAAGGGUGUUGCCCAGAGAACUGGAGGCAGAUGGGAAGCAGACUGGCUCACUUAAUCACCACAAGCUGCAGUGCCAGCUGUGCCUGUGCACAGAAAGAAGAGCUGGAGGCUGGGAGGCUGACAGCUCCCCCUUUGCCCUGCCCAAGGCAGAAGGCUUUGACAAGAGGACACCGACCCUGGGCACCUACCAGUCUGCUGUUUGACCUGGUGGGGGUGGGGGACUUCCACUGGGCCAAGCUAUCUCUCUCCAAGGAGCCAAGUGCUAACGUGGCUUGGCUGUCACCUUCAAUGCAUCACCCGAGGCUGAGAGACCCCCUCGUCACUCCUAGCUUGCAGCCUCACAGUUCCAUUUCCCCACCCAAAUACAUCCAUUUUAAUAUGCACAUCACAGGCAGGCAGCAUGGUCACAAAGGAGCCCCACCAGCAGCAGCUCGCACGUGGUGGAAUGACCAGCCAUUAGCCCUGGCCUCUUGGCUCCCAACAGAUGGAUACCCAGCAGAGGCCUGGCCAACAGAGUGCCACUGCCUAUGUGUCAGCU